rnacentral:rRNA from 1 species
CCUACGGGAGGCAGCAGUGAGGAAUAUUGGUCAAUGGUCGGGAGACUGAACCAGCCAAGCCGCGUGAGGGAGGAAGGUACAGAGUAUCGUAAACCUCUUUUGUCAGGGAACAAAGGCGGGGACGUGUCCCCGGAUGAGUGUACCUGAAGAAAAAGCAUCGGCUAACUCCGUGCCAGCAGCCGCGGUAAUACGGAGGAUGCGAGCGUUAUCCGGAUUUAUUGGGUUUAAAGGGGGCGCAGGCGGUCGUUUAAGUAAGCGGUAAAAGCCCGGGGCCCAAACCCGGCCCGCCGGUGAAACUGGCAGUCUCGAGUUGGAGAGAAGUAUGCGGAAGGCGCGGUGUAGCGGUGAAAUGCAUAGAUAUCGCGCAGAACUCCGAUUGCGAAGGCAGCAUGCCGGCUCCACACUGACGCUGAGGCACGAAAGCGUGGGUAUCGAACAGGAUUAGAUACCCCAGUAGUC